rnacentral:rRNA from 1 species
AUUGAACGCUGGCGGCAGGCCUAACACAUGCAAGUCGAGCGAGCGGCGGACGGGUGAGUAAUGUCUUGGAAACUGCCUGAUGGAGGGGGAUAACUACUGGAAACGGUAGCUAAUACCGCAUACUAUCAGAUGAGCCUAGGUCGGAUUAGCUAGUAGGUGGGGUAACGGCUCACCUAGGCGACGAUCCCUAGCUGGUCUGAGAGGAUGACCAGCCACACUGGAACUGAGACACGGUCCAGACUCCUACGGGAGGCAGCAGUUGGGAAUAUUGCACAAUGGGCGCAAGCCUGAUGCAGCCAUGCCGCGUGUGUGAAGAAGGCCUUCGGGUUGUAAAGCACUUUCAGCGGGGAGGCGUUACCCGCAGAAGAAGCACCGGCUAACUCCGUGCCAGCAGCCGCGGUAAUUC